rnacentral:rRNA from 1 species
UGGGGAAUUUUGGACAAUGGGGGAAACCCUGAUCCAGCCAUCCCGCGUGUGCGAUGAAGGCCUUCGGGUUGUAAAGCACUUUUGGCAGGAAAGAAACGUCGCGGGUUAAUACCCCGCGAAACUGACGGUACCUGCAGAAUAAGCACCGGCUAACUACGUGCCAGCAGCCGCGGUAAUACGUAGGGUGCAAGCGUUAAUCGGAAUUACUGGGCGUAAAGCGUGCGCAGGCGGUUCGGAAAGAAAGAUGUGAAAUCCCAGAGCUUAACUUUGGAACUGCAUUUUUAACUACCGGGCUAGAGUGUGUCAGAGGGAGGUGGAAUUCCGCGUGUAGCAGUGAAAUGCGUAGAUAUGCGGAGGAACACCGAUGGCGAAGGCAGCCUCCUGGGAUAACACUGACGCUCAUGCACGAAAGCGUGGGGAGCAAACAGGAUUAAUACCCUGGUAGUCCACGCCCUAAACGAUGUCAACUAGCUGUUGGGGCCUUUCGGGCCUUGGUAGCGCAGCUAACGCGUGAAGUUGACCGCCUGGGGAGUACGGUCGCAAGAUUAAAACUCAAAGGAA